rnacentral:rRNA from 1 species
AGUGGCGCACGGGUGCGUAACGCGUAUACAAUCUACCUAUUACAGGGGUAUAGCCUUUAGAAAUGAAGAAUAAUCCCCCAUAGUAUUUUAUCUUGGCAUCAAGAUAAGAUUAAAGAUUUAUCGGUAAUAGAUGAGUAUGCGUCCUAUUAGCUAGUAGGUGUGGUCACGGCACACCUAGGCGACGAUAGGUAGGGGUCCUGAGAGGGAGAUCCCCCACACUGGUACUGAGACACGGACCAGACUCCUACGGGAGGCAGCAGUGAGGAAUAUUGGACAAUGGGCGAAAGCCUGAUCCAGCCAUGCCGCGUGCAGGAAGACUGCCCUAUGGGUUGUAAACUGCUUUUAUAUAGGAAGAACCCCACGCUUGCGAGCGUGGUUGACGGUACUAUAAGAAUAAGCAUCGGCUAACUCCGUGCCAGCAGCCGCGGUAAUACGGAGGAUGCGAGCGUUAUCCGGAAUCAUUGGGUUUAAAGGGUCCGUAGGUUGGUUGCUAAGUCAGAGGUGAAAUCCUGCAGCUUAACUGUAGCAUUGCCUUUGAUACUGGUAGCCUUGAAUUAUGGUGAAGUAGUUAGAAUAUGUAGUGUAGCGGUGAAAUGCAUAGAUAUUACAUAGAAUACCAAUUGCGAAGGCAGAUUACUAACCAUAUAUUGACACUGAUGGACGAAAGCGUGGGUAGCGAACGGGAUUAGAUACCCCGGUAGUCCACGCCGUAAACGAUGGAUACUAGCUGUUGGGAUUUCGGUCUCAGUGGUUAAGCGAAAGUAAUAAGUAUCCCACCUGGGGAGUACGUCGGCAACGAUGAAACUCAAAGGAAUUGACGGGGGCCCGCACAAGCGGUGGAGCAUGUGGUUUAAU